rnacentral:lncRNA from 1 species
AGAUUCUCCCCAGACGCCAAGGUUGCGGGUCAUGGAGUCCCGAACCCUCCUCCUGCUGUUCUCGGGAGCCGUGGCCCUGAUCCAGACCUGGGCAGAUUACAAUUACAAUCAAGGCAGAAAUGAUCUCAUUUUUACAUUACAACUCUGGAAAAGGCAAUAGACUGAGAUGCAAGUGUGCCCCCAAGUGAUGGGCAGAAGGAGAGAAGGUGUUUUGGAUGCAUUCUAGAACACAGGUAAUCUAAGGAGAGUUGAUCAAGGCCGUGGAAGAGUCCUCCAGCCACUAUUGGCCAUCAAAGGAGUCCUCUGUGUCCCAGGAAUGGUCCUGCUUUGGUGUCCCUGGUGUGACCCAUCACCCGCUGGGAACAGCCUGAGAGAAGUAGGGCCUCUGCACCAAUGCUGCUGAGGAUGUCAGAGCACAGGAACGAGGCCUUGGGAAAUUACCUGGAAAUGCGACUGAAAUCUUCCUUCCUGAGGGGUCUGGGCUCUUGGAAAUCAAACCCUCUCAGGUUGGGUGGCUGGACGAUUCUCCUCACACUUACAAUGGGACAAGGGGAACCAGGAGGCCCCCAAGGGGAUCCCUGGGUUCCACACGAACUCCUCCUACCCUCAUUGUGUGACAGCAGCCAUGCCUCCUCCUGGGGAUCAGGAUCUAUUACCUGUGCCUGGAGAGGAGGGGACUCCUCUUCUCACCCGCUGGUCUCUGGACACAUACUGUCCAAUUCCCCUGUGGCAGCUGUAAUGUGUAGUUCAAUGGGCACUCAUUUGUCCCCUUUUAAGGGUACCCUCCUUUAGAAUCCAGGACCUUCUACCCUGCAGAGUGUGGUUUUGGGAGAGAAGUGCAAAAUCCCACGACAGGAUUGAGAUUGGACGUCUUUGGGAACCAUUACUCGGCCCAUCACAUCUGAGUAUGUUGAAGUCACCGAGGAUCAAGGAGACAGCACUGCUGGAGAGGGCGAUAGUGAACCAGGAACUACAAGAGUCAGGACUGAGAGGAACGGCCUGGGGCCCACAGGGAAUGGCUGCAAUGAGGGGAGUGGGGCCUGAAUCUGAUGACAGCUUUGGGGGCUUAGGAAGGAAGGAGGCAGAAAGGUCUGAGAACCACAGUGAGGAGUGAGGAUGCCACCCCAC